ACCCAAACUCAACAUCUCCUCCACACGCAUCCACCCCACUCUCUUCGUAGGUCUAGUGAAUCGCGAUGUUCUUUCUAUCUAUCUGUUCUCUUCGUUCUACAAACUGUUGGUUCUUGUCUUCUUGAGUAGCCAUUCCUUGCGGAUGCAGAUCCCAGGUAGAAUCAGUUCGGUAGCUUCUUCUGUUCACUGGCCAUCAUUUCCUUUGAUUUCUUCUGUUUCUUAGAGUCUGUCCCAUCUUCUGGAUCUGAGUUGGAAGCUUCCAUCUACCUAGCCAUGGUAUUUUAUGCAACAUAUACGGCGUGGAUCGGAACUGCCCAAGGGAACGAGUGAAGCUGCCAGCAUGAUCUAGCUCUGAGUGAUCACCCGAAAAAGAACAAUAGUUCUAGGUGGUCAUGCCUUGCUAGGUCAUGCUGCUGCAGCCUCACUUCUUCCCGUCGUUGGGCAUAACAUGGUGGCUGUGUUAGCUUGGUAAAGCAGGUAGUACCAACAACUUCCAUAUACUUUUGAAAGUUCAAUUC
rnacentral:precursor_RNA from 1 species